GGUGGAGUGGCCGAGCGGUCUUAAGGUGCUGGUUUUAGGCAAUCUAAAACACCAGUGGGGCAACCCGCGCGAGUUCGAAUCUCGUCUCCAUCA
rnacentral:tRNA from 1 species